AUGGAUUUGUCAGCAGAACAAGAUUUAGAAGUGACAUCAGAGCAAGAGCCAGAAAGGCUUGAAGGAAGUGAAAAGAACAAGCCACAGGCUGAGGGAGAAAGGAAGAAGCAUGCAAAGAAUGAAACAGAAGCAUCAAGAAACCUACAUGAUGGCUCCACUGAUGACCAUAUUCAACAAGGAGAGAGUGGAGAAACUGACGGUCAGCAAAUCCCUAGGACAGAGCAUGAAGUGUGCGAUAGUAGUGUCCCUGCCUUGCAUAUGAAGAAAGUAAAGAAAAAUGAACAUGAAGAAUGGAUCACAACAGAAUCUGUGACUCUGCUGGUAUUUAAGAAGGCCGAUUUAAUAACUCAUGAUCUGCUGCAAGUGACUGAUGACAGCAGUUUAACUGAAAUAGAUGAGAAAGAAAGAAGGCUUACAAAGAAAACAUCUAAUGAGGACAAGGUCAGAAACCAAAUCCAUUCUAUAGAUGGCUUUGAUGACUUAACUUGGUCAUCUGAAAUAGCCUCAGAGUGUUGUGAGCUGCCUUACUCUAAUUACAAAAAGUUUAUAUUGCUCAUUGAAGAACUUGGCAUGGAUUGUAAAGAUCCUGUUAACCUACUGAAAAUUCAGGAUGCCAUUCAUUCAUGGGAAAGAUCAAUAGAAGUUGAAAAAAAUCACUGUAAACUACUUACAGAAAAAAUGAAAAAAAUGGAAAAUGAGGUCCAUGUACUACAAAAGGAGUUAUCUGAAACAAUAGAAAUAAAAUUACAGUUAGAACAUCAAAACGAUGAAUGGAAACGAGAUUUCUACAGUUUGAGAUCUGCCUUAAGACAAGAAGAAGAGAAGAGAAAAAAUGCUAACACAUUGUAUGAAAAAAUCAGGGGACACUUAAGAAGAAAAGAAGAGCAGUACAUGAAAGAAGUUGAAGCCAACAAACAACUUCAACUGACUCUGAGAACACGAGAUAUGGAAUUGAGGACAGUAAGAAAUAAUUUGGACCAGGUUGUACAAGAGCUGAGUGACACCCAGAGGCAACUUUCUCGAGAAAAGAAUGCCAGAAUAUUACAAGAUGAAAUCCUGACCAAUCACCUUUGCAAACAAAGGGAGAUAGCACUGGCUCGAAGGAAAAGGAGUUCUCAGGUAUUUCCUUUCAGUCAUUUUCAAAUACGUGUGCGUAUACAUAUUUUACGUGUAUAUAUAUUUAAAAUCCAACCAUAUGUAUCUUGGCAAAUAGAGAAUAUCUUAAAAACAUUCAUGUGUGUCUGUAUUGUUGGGGGUGGUGGUAGUGGUGGCAUUUCUGGCCGUUGGAUAAAGUCAUGUUUUAAAUUCAACUCCAUCUGAGUGCAGUGGUUAAGCAGUGACUCUCAUGACGGCCUCAUCCUAAGGAGAGACUUUUAAUAUUUUCCAUAGGAAUCGAUGAUCUCCCCAUUAUCUCCAAACCCUUGCUACUAACAAUAGAUGUUCUAAUUUUUGGAAGUGAUUUCAUCCCCUUGAUUUGUUAUCGGAGAAGUUAAUUAUUUGCAAAAAAGUACAGUCAAUUCAGAGACCAUAUUUUGAAUGUGAUUCUCCUUACUUUUGAGAAUCUUAUUUCAGUACAAAAAGCUUUUCGAAACAAUACGAUACCAUAACGUAUACUUACUUUUGUUCCUAGUGAGAUAGUUUAGUGUUUUCUCCUAUUUCACAUUUAAUACUGUUUCCAACAUUGUGAAGGAAACAAAAGUUAUUGCAACAGCAAGUAAUCUCAUGAUUUUCUAAGAAGAGCUCUGUACAUUUCAUCUUAUUUACCCUUGGCGUCUUGGAGAAAUAAGCUUCUUUUGUAUUUACAUAUUUACACCACACAAGGAUCUGUAUUUGGGGAGGAGCACUAGAAGUAGAAUCAGAAGACCUGGGGAAAAUCGUGCAGCUUGCUUCUAUUUGUAACCUCUCCUUUUUAGAGUUGUGGUAAAUGAGUUUAUUGAUGUAUAUAGAAGUGCUUAGUACAAUGACUUGAUGGAUCAUAUAUCAAUAAAUGUAACUAUUACAACAUUAUAAAAAUGAUAGAAAAGUAGAAUACCUAUAGAAUAUUAAAUGUUAGAAAAAUAGAAUAUCUAUAGAAUAUUCUCAGGAAAAUGCACUUGAAGAACUUUGGGAAAUUUCAUCUAUCCAAAGAUACCCAGAGCUAAGGCUCUUGCUAUGGGGUGGUGUACAGGUUAGAUAUCAGAGCGUAAACCCAAUUUUUUAAUGGAUUCAAAUUUAUUAAUAUUUUAUGUUAUACCUUUGAAUUUUUUGUAAUUUAGGGAAAAACUUCUCUUAUUAUGAGAUUCUUAAACGUUCCCUAGAGGUUUAGUUUUUACUUUCAUGAAUCUGUGGUCUUCAAUAAACUUUUGAACAUUGACGAGUUUAUGUUUAGUAAGGUUUCAGGUUUAUGUUUAAUAAGAUUUCAGAUUCAAAGCCCACAGUAGUCACUGAGUAAAUGUUUUCUUUUAAUGUUUUAAAUAGGAAGACUCUUUUUUACAUCGAUUGGUUUUAGAUUUUGGGUGCACUGCAGACACAUUCAGAAAUGCUUAUUUAAGUUAUUUCUCUAUUUCUCAAAGAUGCUUUCUAUUUAGCUAAAUGUGGUUAUAUGGGUACAUCCAAGCUAAAACAACAUUUCUAAAUGUUUGAUUUUUUUUCAUGGCGGAGCAUUGUGUCUCAACUGAGUGAGCUGCGUUUCUUCCUGACUAAAAAGAGGCCUGUUUGCAUCACGAAGGCAGUGCCUGUCUACUCUGAAUUUUAACUCCAAUGAAACUAUCAUAAUAGUUAUGCUGUUUAUUCUGGAUACAAAGGCAGCGUUUGAUUAACCUUUUGUUACGUCAUUUAUAUAUGUUCUAUAUAAUUCCUUCUGCCUGCACUUUUUUUUUUUUUUUUUUUUUGAGACGGAGUCUCGCUCUGUCGCCCAGGCUGGAGUGCAGUGGCACGAUCUUGGCUCACUGCAAGCUCCCCCUCCCGGGUUCAUGCCAUUCUCCUGCCUUAGCCUCCCGAGUAGCUGGGACUACAGGUGCCCGCCACCAUGCCCAGCUAAUUUUUUGUAUUUUUAGUAGACAUGGGGUUUCACCAUCUCGAUCUCCUGACCUCGUGAUCUGCCCGCCUCGCCUCCCACAGUGCUGGGAUUACAGGCGUGAGCCACCGCGCCCAGCCUCUGUCUGCACUUUAUUGUACUUUCUUAGUCAAAUGUCCAGUACUCAUUUUAUCCUUUGAAAGUUUCAGGCAAUCUCUCACCUUCUUCCCAUUCUUUCUCUUCACUUUUUUCACAAGGUCUUUAAAUACAUGUGUGGCUCUGUGCUGAAUCCUUUAGCUCCUCAAUCAGCAGACUGUUCCCCACUUAUUUUCUCUGUGACAAAAUAUAUGUAUUUCAUAAUUACAGAUGGACGAAUAUCAUUUCUUCCAUUCAUUAGCCUAUUUAAAUUUAUGUUGAAUUGCAGUGGUUUAAAUGGGCAAACAUAUUUGAUUCUAAUGCACUUGAGUGCAUGUUUACUUUUACUACACUUGAAUGGUCCUUAAAAUAGAGAAUGCUGUCACAGUUUAAUUUGAAAACAUCAAAAGUUACUGAAAAUAUAGUAGCUAUAAAAAUGUGUGUGUGGUGUGCAUGUAUUUAUUAAAUCAGUCUCGAAAAAUGUUGCAGUGUUUUCCAGCCAGUGGAUCUCAAGUGUUAAUUGACAGUAGCCUGUACUAUACACUAUUGUUGAAUGAAUGAACUAUAUAUCUGUAUUUACUGGGAUUUCCCAUUGCUAUUGAUUUCACUAUAUUCCUUUUACUAAAAUUUUCCUUUCCACUUUUCUCCUCUUAAAGUUGGGUGUGUUGGAGAAUGUACAGUAAGAACAUGUAACUGAGGAAGAAGGAAGCAUUGGUAUACGUGUUGUAAGGUCAGCUUUCUUGCUAAGGCUGUGGGGAGGUAAGCAGCAAAUCCCUUUUGAAGUUGAGAACAUAGGAGUCAGACAGAUGAGCAUCAACAUACUAGCUUUUAUUACUGACUCCCAGUAACUAAUGGGGGAUGUGGCUCAGAUGUGCGGGCACAGUGGGCUUCUGAACACUUCAUCCCAGGUUAGGCAUUCACACACACAGUUGUAAGUGGAGAAAGCUUGAUACUCAUCCCCAAAGCAGGCUGCCUGCUGCAGAGAUGACAGCUGACUUGAAUUCAUGUCACUGUGGGCAGACAUAUCAUUUCACAGGAGAGACACAGAACCAAGCAAGCACAAAUUCAGCCUUUUGGUAAAUCUUCCCACGAGGAAGGUAGAGAGCUUGUAAGUCCUCAUGUGGAAAUGUGAGGUCAGGGAAGCCAGGUUUCCUAUCACUUCUGCCUGAAUUUAAAUUGUAAUUGAAAUUAAAUCCAUGUCUUUGUAAUGAUGAGGAGGUGGACAGAAGUGUGCUAUAUGAAAAAGAUAAAUCUGUUUUGCCUCUUCAAUUUUGCUAUAAAUAACCCACAACAUGGAUAAUUGACUUGACUGAUUGAUUGUGGUAAACCAUGUUUUAUUUGGAGAAAAUUAAUAGUCCUUUUGAGGAAGAAUUUUUCUCAGCUUCAGCUUGCUUAGUUCACCUAAAGGCACUUUAUUUCAUGUUCCCUGUCCUGUGACUUAAAAAAAAAAAUGUUCUUUAUACAUUGAGUACAUUCACUGCUACUAACAAAAGUUCUGACGUUAAUUGCUGUUUCUAAUUUUUUUCAUAACUUUCAAACUUACAAUUUAGAGAAGUAGUCUUUUCUGUAUCGUGCCUAAACAUUAUUGAGCUAUGUGACAGUUUUACAUGUGCAUUUUCUGAGUUAUAUUUUAAAAUCUAUGUCCGUUUUCUGAAUAAGAAGGAAGCAGCUGGCAUAGAUCUCCAGGCUCAGUAAGGAGACCUGAAGCCCAUUCCUGGCCUGUAUGUAGCUAAUUCACUAUGUGACCUCAGGCAAGCUACAAUCUCUCUGAGCCUGUGUUGCCUCCUAUGAAAACUUAGGGAUUUUAACUACACUGGUGGCAUACCUU
rnacentral:lncRNA from 10 species